AGAGUUUGAUCCUGGCUCAGAUUGAACGCUGGCGGCAGGCCUAACACAUGCAAGUCGAGCGAGAAAGCUCUUCGGAGUGAGUACAGCGGCGGACGGGUGAGUAACGCGUGGGAAUCUACCCAGUAGCGGGGGAUAGCCCGGGGAAACUCGGAUUAAUACCGCAUACGCCCUACGGGGGAAAGCAGGGGAUCUUCGGACCUUGCACUAUUGGAUGAGCCCGCGUCAGAUUAGCUUGUUGGUGGGGUAACGGCCUACCAAGGCGACGAUCUGUAGCUGGUCUGAGAGGAUGAUCAGCCACACUGGGACUGAGACACGGCCCGAACUCCUACGGGAGGCAGCAGUGGGGAAUAUUGGACAAUGGGGGCAACCCUGAUCCAGCCAUGCCGCGUGUGUGAAGAAGGCCUUCGGGUUGUAAAGCACUUUCAGCGAGGAGGAAAACUGAUGGGUUAAUACCCCAUUAGCUUGACGUUACUCGCAGAAGAAGCACCGGCUAACUCCGUGCCAGCAGCCGCGGUAAUACGGAGGGUGCGAGCGUUAAUCGGAAUUACUGGGCGUAAAGCGCACGUAGGUGGUUUGUUAAGCCAGCUGUGAAAGCCCCGGGCUCAACCUGGGAAUUGCAGUUGGAACUGGCAGGCUAGAGUGCAGUAGAGGGGUGUGGAAUUUCCUGUGUAGCGGUGAAAUGCGUAGAUAUAGGAAGGAACAUCAGUGGCGAAGGCGACACCCUGGACUGACACUGACGCUGAGGUGCGAAAGCGUGCGGAGCAAACAGGAUUAGAUACCCUGGUAGUCCACGCCGUAAACGAUGUCUACUAGCCGUUGGGGCCCUUGAGGCUUUAGUGGCGCAGCUAACGCACUAAGUAGACCGCCUGGGGAGUACGGCCGCAAGGUUAAAACUCAAAUGAAUUGACGGGGGCCCGCACAAGCGGUGGAGCAUGUGGUUUAAUUCGACGCAACGCGAAGAACCUUACCAGGCCUUGACAUCCUUGGGAGUUGGCAGAGAUGCCUUCGUGCCUUCGGGAGCCAAGUGACAGGUGCUGCAUGGCCGUCGUCAGCUCGUGUCGUGAGAUGUUGGGUUAAGUCCCGUAACGAGCGCAACCCUUGUCCUUAGUUGCCAGCGAUUCGGUCGGGAACUCUAAGGAGACUGCCGGUGACAAACCGGAGGAAGGUGGGGAUGACGUCAGGUCAUCAUGGCCCUUACGGCCUGGGCUACACACGUGCUACAAUGGGCGGUACAGAGGGUUGCCAAGCCGCGAGGUGGAGCUAAUCCCUUAAAACCGUUCGUAGUCCGGAUCGGAGUCUGCAACUCGACUCCGUGAAGUCGGAAUCGCUAGUAAUUGCAAAUCAGAAUGUUGCGGUGAAUACGUUCCCGGGCCUUGUACACACCGCCCGUCACACCAUGGGAGUGGGUUGCACCAGAAGUGGCUAGUCUAACUUCGGAGGACGGUCACCACGGUGUGAUUCAUGACUGGGGUGAAGUCGUAACAAGGUAGCCGU
rnacentral:rRNA from 1 species